UACUGGCAGGAUCAACCAGGUAGCACGUCCUAAACGAGAGCCGGCGCGCCGGCCGCACGACCGGCGCACCCCGCGCCCGCGCCACGAGACGCGGACGGGGGAGCACCAUCGCACGGCGACGCACGGCAGUCGCUCAUUCGGUUCGGUUCGGUGGGACGAACAUCCCGCACGCGCAACGGCUCGCGGAAUUCUCGAUGGGCACCGCAUCCGUGAGAGCCGACAAAAUACGCCCGCGGCGACAGGGCCUUCGCCCGUAACCGCGCACGCACCGUGCCGUCAGCUCGGCCGCGCCCGUCGACAGAAGCCAUCGACGUCGCAAGCAUCGCAAGUCGACCGGGAAAAUACCGCACGAGGGUACAACCGCACAGGCAACCGAUCCCAAGCGUUCCUCCCCGGCUUGCGGAGCACGACGGAGGAAACAGUGAAGAGACAGCUCCACGGCGGUUGGCCGCACCGAAGUGCA
rnacentral:misc_RNA from 1 species